ACUGAACAGGCACUUGAUCUUCAGAAGAGGACAUUUGUGAAGCAUUCCAAAGUAUUCAGCGACACGUUGAAGAAGUACUUCCGAGAUGCAAGAACGGAUGACGUGUUCGUGAGCGCCAAUCGCUUGAUAAACCAGACCAACACGCUGCUCCGCCUGUUUCGCAUGGCCAGUGGACAGCCAUAGUCAUGAGCCUGCCUGCUGAAUGGCUACCGUUGUCAUGUUGCACAACCGACGUCAAUCCUUAUAGACAAAUUAUAAUAUUCUAAAUUUAAGUUAUGGAAUUUGAUAGUAUUUUACGUGGAAAUCAGUCUCGAAUUAGAACAUUCUGGCUUCUUUAUUGUCCCCUUGAAGGCAUUCACUGUAAAUAUUGAAAUCCCAAGCUCACUGUGUUGAUUUCGAGAUAAAGUAGUGCUGCACAAAAAGUUGAAGCACCGUAAGAUUCGUGUUCAAAAUGA